GAGAAGUAACAAUUAAGAUAAACAGAGUUAUAGGAAUACAAAAUAACGAUUUUGAAUUUUACAGUAUAAAACAGAACGAGAUGGUGUUGUAGAGACCCGAGUGGAAAGGAAGAUUACAGUCACAAGUGAUGAAAAUGAUGAGUGCGACCAUGAUGCUUUGUUAAGGGCAGCCAUACAAGAAGUGGUACUCAUGAAUCAAGAUUUAUCAGUAGAAAAAAUAGAGUGUAUGCGACAGAUAGAAGAAGUGAAUGGCAACUGAAAGAUUUAAAUGUACUGCAGCAAGCCUUUGGUGAUACAGAUGCAAUAACUCAAGCUUUCAUGUGCUUUCGAACAGUGACAAAGAUAGCCACCAAUGAGUGCCUAUACAUUUUCAUAUAAAUAUAGACAGCCAAUCAUAUUUAUGCUUCACAAUAUUAUCAUCAGUGAUGUCAGAAGUGACAUCAUCAGUGACACGUGAUGUCACAACAUUAUCAGUGAUGUCAUAAGUGACAUCAUCUACACCAGGAACUUGUAAAUAGUGAAAGGAAUAAAGUAGUGUUUUGUGCAGAUUGAGAUAAUGGGAUGUGAAGUACCAUAUGUGAAAUGAACAAUAGAAUUUUAAAAGGUUGAAUGCAAUGGAUUGAAGACUAGGCUUGGAAAAAUGAAGUGUCUAUAAUGUUGGUGAAAAGAAUGAUUUUGGAUAAAAAUGAAUAUGGGAUGACAUUGCUUUACAUUAGUAAUGAAGUGUUAAGGAAUGUUAAUGUUAACAGGCACAAGUAUAGAUAGGUAAAUUGGGAAAUUGAGUUGGAUAAAUCAAACUGGUGUUGUAGUUUAUCCUUUGGUUUAUAAAUGAAUGUUGCUUCAGUAAUAUGAUUUUUCGAGUUUUUAAUUUGAAUUGUUUUUCAUUGACAGCUGAAAAUGGUUGUAGCUUAAAUAUGUAGAAUUGCAACUUGUAUAUUUUGAAUUAUUAUGGGUUCUUUUAUAUUACCAAUCUUUACAGUUAUACUAUAUAUGUACUACAGCCUUUUGUUGAGUUGUUGGGUCCUUUUCGCAGAAGCAACAUUUAUUUUUGCCAAAAGCAUGUUUACCGAUAAAUUUAUGAAACCUUCCACCCCUUUUGUUUGUGUCAUUGUCAAGACGAUGUAUAGGAAAGGGGAGUUCAUUUCAGGAAAAAAGGGUUGACAGGAUUACCAACUGUCUCAUUCCAUUAAUGAAAAAUAGCUUCAUUUUUAUCUUCAGUCUGUGAAAUGGAAAAAAAAACUCGACCUUUGUGUUGCUAGGUUGAAGAGGAUUUAUUAGCAAUAAUUUUACAUCACUUGUAAGAACUACAUAUAAUAUAGAAAUAAGUAAAAACAUCUGUAAGUUUCAAAUAGUUUGUUUGGAUAUUUUUUAUUUUAAUGCAUUUGGUCACACAUUCUCCUAUAAAUAAGAAAUUGUGUAUUCUGCAACUGUAUUCAUCAUCAUUUUGUAUUGUCAGUUAAUAUUUUUUAUUUUAUAAGAUUAUAUUCCUUGGUUGUGAGAGAGAAUUUUUUUCUAUAUUUGUUAUCAGAAAAAUGCUUAUGCUAUUUUAUUUCAUAGAUAAAUUUACAUAACGCUUGAUUUUGGCAUAGUGUUAAUAGUUUUAGACCUUCGUCCCCUAUUUUAAGGAAUGGAAGAGUCCAUAUCAUAAGUAAGAGGAGUCCACAGGAGGUAAUUGGGGAAGAUGGGGUAGUAGUAUGCAGAAAAAAAAGUGUGACUGGUACUAAAGGUGACCUUUGACUGUUUUACUGUGUUUUUUUUAGAAUUUUAAUUUUGUUACAUAAUUAUUUACUUUUAUGCUGCUUUUAUUUUUUAUCUCCUAAAACUGAUUUCCCCCCCUGCUUUUUACUCUGUUAAAAUCAGUUUUACCAACUAAUUUGUAAAGCAUGGACUUGCCUUGUAGGAUUGUCGAUUGUUUAUGUAAUCUGCAAAACUGAUAAAUAUUAAAGGCAUUAUUCCUAAUAUUAAGAAGUGAUAUCGUUAUACUACUAAAUUACAACGUGUAAUAAAUUAAUAUGAAAAGUGUAAAAAAUGUACUACAAGAAUCUGUAUGUCUAUUAUUUGAUGUAGCAUAAUGAAAUAACUUAAUUAAAGUUUAAAAUUUGUACUUGUUGAAAUAUUGUUCUGUUGUUUGUUUAUACAUCCAUUUUUUUUUCGCAGUAAAACUGUAUCAAUGUAAAUUAUUUAAAUUCAGUUUUAUAUUUUAUAUCAUUUUAAAGGUAUACUGUUCUUUUCAGUAGUGAAUAAUUUAUAUACACAGUAUAUACCAGAUGGACUGAAUUGGGCAAAUAAAAAGUGCUGGUUAGAAUAACAGUGUACAGUUGCUAGAUAUUGGAAAAAAACUAAUUUUAAAGGAUCUCACAUCUUGUAAAAUCUUGCUACUUGUACCAGAUAUAAGCUAGAUGACCGACACAAAUUAGUAUUCAUUAACUCGAUUUUUUUUUUUUUUUGUAAACUUCAUUUAUAUACUUAUUUUUUUCAUUCAGAUAAGUCUAUGAUUUGAAAAAUUAAGUUUUGAACUAUUUCACUGCCAUUGAAAUAAUCUCAAGAAAAGGGAAGGCUUAUGACCUUCAUCAUGUGAGAAUUAACCAAGAGUAGUGAAGUCCUAAUAAUCUAAUUAUUUCCUGCCAUUUUUGCCUCUUGUAGCAGAGCCAAGCUUCUAUUUUAGUUAGUUUUUAGAAAAAUGCCUUCGCAAAAGCUUCCGAAACUGGAUUUUUUUUACAGUUGAAGUGUGUUCAGCUACAAGCAAGGACAAUAAAGAAAGAAUUUAUAGAGGAUAUUAAAUUUUGUUUGUUUGAGUGUUAGAUUGAAAUAUCUGUCAUAAGUGAACACUAGCAAUACUUCCACAAGUGGCCAGGAGUGAAAAUGUUAGAUAUGGUGUUCAUGAGUGAAAUAAUAUUUUGAUCUGACAUGUAAAACAAACAUGGUUUCUUUUCAUUACAUGUUUUGACUAAAUUAACCCAUUUUAUAGUUUCUUUUCGCUAAUAAUUAACUGAAAACCAUGUAAUAAAUAUGAUUUAAUCUAGCCGCAGCAAACUGAGGGAAUCUGUCUACUGAAAUAUCUUGCUUGUUGUGGUUUACAAGACAGUCGGCAGUUUACAUUGAUCAAACAUCCAACUGUUACUGGAUGGUCGCAUUUCGGAAUAGAUGCGAUAGCCUUUCCUUAACACUAAACAGCUACACAUUGUUAAACUUUUGAUUAUGUUACACUUAAAUGCAGUAAAUUAUGUAAUGAUUUAUUUUCCAUUGCUUAGAUAACUCAUAGCUAUAAUUUUAAAUAAAACACUGAAAGAA